AGUCGGGGUGUGCGCGUGGACCCACCCACUCAGGCUUCGCAAUAAACUAUGCGAUGCAAUUCCAGUGAAUGGCACCAUAUAGACCAGGACGCGAAUCAGCACACAAGGAUCCUCGGGAAUGGAUUGAGAAGGAAAUUCAGGCAACUGCCACAUCCAUCAAAGUCGAAGGAACGCGCGUGGGUCCAAAAAGUUGUUCGGAGUAAAGCUUUGCCCAUCAAUAUCAUCGAUUAGUUAUCGCACAGCAUUUUUAUUUGGGAAGAACUUAAAUAGAUCGUCGUGUUAAGUGCGUGUUCUUGCUACAAAUAGUAGCAUUUAGCAUUUUUCUUGACCACGUUUACAAAAAGAGGGAAUAGAGACUUCUGUAAUUAAAGGGAAAAGGAAAAUGAAAGGAACUGAAAAUACUGAACUGUGAGUCUGGGUGGCUUUAAGUUUGAAAACAUAAAAUUAUUAGGACUGCCAAAAAGCAUUUCUGAGAAACCAUGUUACAGAUUGUGAGAAAAUAAAUGCUGGAAGUAGGCACUGAACACCUCCUUUCAAGAAUCCCAGAAAUAGUUGCUGAGGUUUUUCUUUCUUUUUUUUUUCUUUUUCCUUUUCUUUUUUUCCCCUGCUGAGGAUAGAAAAUGACCAUUGACAAUAAAAUCAUCAACUAUCUCUUAAGCACCACUCUGUAUGUCUGGGAAAUUUUGGAUAAUGUCUUUCCUUUAGAUGUUUCAAUGAGAUAGGAAUUCAUUCACGUUGAUACCCAUGUAACUUGUACAAUACUGUAUUAACAUUUUAUAAUGAAUUACUUUUCAAGUUUAUUUUGUACAUCAUAUUUGUUAGACAAUUGUAGCCAGUAGGGUUGUUCUCAAGUUAUGAAAAAAAUGAUAGUCGGUGCCAUAGUGCAAACAAACUAAUCCAAUAUUCAUUGGAGAGCAAAUCAUUUGGCAAUGACUUUACCUCAAUUUUAAGGGGAAAAAUGCACUUUCUGUGAGUCAUAUAUUGGUAAAUCUUUUUUUUAAACUUGUCAGUUAAAUAAAAGUCAUAUUUGG